AAACAACAGGGAUUGCCUCAGUAACGGCGAGUGAAGCGGCAAAAGCUCAAAUUUGAAACCCUCGGGAUUGUAAUUUGAAGAUUUGGCAUUGGAGAAAGCUAACCCAAGUUACUUGGAAUAGUACGUCAUAGAGGGUGACAACCCCGUCUGGCUAACCGUUCUCCAUGUAUUGCCUUAUCAAAGAGUCGAGUUGUUUGGGAAUGCAGCUCAAAGUGGGUGGUAAACUCCAUCUAAAGCUAAAUACUGGUGAGAGACCGAUAGCGAACAAGUACUGUGAAGGAAAGGUGAAAAGAACUUUGAAAAGAGAGUGAAAUAGUAUGUGAAAUUGUUGAUAGGGAAGGAAAUGAGUGGAGAGUGGUUUAGGUUUCAGCCUUCUUUCGAGGGGGUGCACUACCAACGCCGAGUCAUUGAUAGCGAGACAGGGGUUAUAAACGGACGGCACUUGUGCUAUUCUCCUAACCCCUCUACUGCCACCAACGACAUAAUCCACCCAUUACUG
rnacentral:rRNA from 1 species